GAGUUUGAUCAUGGCUCAGGAUGAACGCUGGCGGCGUGCUUAACACAUGCAAGUCGAACGGACCUGAUUUUUAGCACAAAUUGCUUAUGCCGAUCAGCAUGGGCGGAUGUGGACCCAGUGUCCAUAAGAAAGAACAUCCGUCUACGCGUUGCAAAGUGUGAUCACACAUGCGAAAUGGAGAAAGUAAUGAGUGAUUUGUGCUGAAAAUCAGGUUAGUGGCGGACGGGUGCGUAACACGUGGGUAACCUGCCCUGCUUUUCGGAAUAACGCCGGGAAACCGUCGCUAAUGCCGAAUAACAUGAGAAGAAGGCAUCCUUUUCUCAUCAAAGAACCUCGAAGCAGAAUGGGCCCGCGCCGGAUUAGCUGGUUGGUGAGGUAAUGGCUCACCAAGGCGACGAUCCGUAGCCGACCUGAGAGGGUGAUCGGCCACACUGGAACUGAGACACGGUCCAGACUCCUACGGGAGGCAGCAGUGGGGAAUAUUGCACAAUGGGCGAAAGCCUGAUGCAGCAACGCCGCGUGAGCGAUGAAGGCUUUCGAGUCGUAAAGCUCUGUCGCAGGGGAAGACAAAGACGUACCCUNGAGCC
rnacentral:rRNA from 1 species